UAUUAUGACGACCGGUCUGGCCUAGUGGGUAGUGACCCUGCCUGCUAAGCCGAUGGUCCUGGGUUCGAAUCCCGGUAAGGGCAUUUAUUUCACAGAUAUUUGUUCCUGAAUCAUGGGUGUUUUCUAUGUAUUUAAGUAUUUGUAUAUUAUAUAUAUCAUUGUCUGAGUACCCACAACACAAGCCUUCUUGAGCUUACCGUGGGGCUUAGUCAAUUUGUGUAAAAAUGUCCAUUAAUAUUUAUUUAUUUAUU